AAACCUCCGUUAGCUUUCUCA
rnacentral:misc_RNA from 1 species